CCUCUGGCGACGUACGGCGAAACUCCGAGAUGCGCCACCGCGGCCGCGUGACCACAUCGGAGAAAGCGCUAUGAGAGGUCUGUCAUGUUUACCUUUUCCCAGGCGAUUCAGCCUUCUUCAUCGACGGCCGCUACUGGCCCAGCGCCAAAGCGCCCCUUUCGUUUCCGUCGCUGUGUAGACGGCGGCACCGUAAUGACGGCGAUGAAGCUCGACUAUCUUCUUCUCGUUAUGGUAGUGGCAAGUGAAGAUGCGUUACUUGCCUCUUAAUCUUCAGCUGUUUCCUUAUAGAUGAUGCCCACCAUCAUCCGUCUCACAUUCGUAUCGCCUUCGACCUUAUUUUGUUUGACAGCCAAAUCAUAUAGCUCCCGGGUAACGACGUGACGAUCGUCUCGCCCGCGUUCACGAUGGACAUGGCUGUGCCGAGACAAGUGUCCUCUUCGGAUGUUGACGUGGAUUCUUGUUUCAUUUGGGCUGCUGCAUGAGCGAUGCUCAAUGGGCGAUCUACAAAGGAAUUUCGGUAACAUGAUUGUGCAUGUGCUGAAGAUUUUGAAUCUUCCCAUCAUGGGAUAAAAAAGGGAGAAAAUAGAACUUACUGUCUAAUGCUUCUUCGGGUAUACUAUUCUUAUAGAGAGAUUAAAGUGGGGCGAAAGUCUGUAGGUUUGAGACUUGAUACAUCCUCGAGUUUCUUGGCAUGUAUGGGGCAACCACUACCUGAUUCAGGCCCCCUCUUCUGGAGCUCCUUUAAUCAAUUUACCAAUGAUUUCUCUACCAAUAUAUUGAAGUCAAAUUGAUGAUAAAGUCAACAAUAAAUUAGGCAAAAAAUGCAUAUAUUUUGUAGGUUCAACUCUGAAUUUGGCUUUUUUGCUUAUGUGCCUUCAAGUAUGCAUACCUUUGCCAUGUGUUAUCUUCUCAUACAUAGGUCAAAUGAUUUGAAAAAGUUGGACCAGCUCGCGAUUGGUAUGACAAGGUUGUAUGACAUUUUCUUAAAUUCUAUACAAUUGUGCAGCCCAUGAACGACACACUUUGUUUGGAUAUGUAAAUGUUGUUAGCCCUUCGUUAAUGUAGUUUCAAAAUUAGGAGUUCACACCAUUUAUUUCUUCCCUUGCCCCCAUCUCCCUCUAUCUGGCAGCAAGAAUCCUAGCUGCCCACAUGUUCUCCACUCCCUACUUGAUUCUUAUUUUUUCAUGCGAGCUGUAAUAGUGUAAAAGCCAGCUUCAGCAAGGCAAGAACUCAGCCAUGCGAGGAGGAUAUGUGGGAGGAUGAUUCGCUUGAUCUCUUCUACUCCGUUCAUUUCUACAUGACCGUGAUGGUAACUGGUUAGAAAAAGGUGGGAUGCUGAUGGUACAGGAAGAGUUGGUUGUUUAAACUUCUUUUUGACAAAAACUGAGGGGUACUUGGAUGCCGUUGCUUUCCAUGUAUCACCAACCAAUGUAUGGCUUACCUGAGUGCAAUCAUCAUCUACCAUUAUGCACAUGAUUUUCGAUAAGCUCAGAAAUGCUACGAUGAUUGAUCAGAAACUAUCAUGGUGCUGUUUUUGUGCAGAAAUAUAAGUUCUCGAAAGACGGACGAAACAUUGCGGAGAUAUUUUAUUGAAUAAAUAAAAAAUACUGGAACGAAGAUCCACCGGAGGGGGUGCACCAGUUGCUCACAAGGCAACAGGGCCCUGGUGCCUUGCGGGGCCCACGAGGCUCCAUCUGCCCUAAUUCCAACUCUAUAAAUUCCGUUUCCCUGAGCGAAAAUAAGAGAAGAAGCUUCAUCGCGUUUUACAAUAUGAAGCCGCCGCCACCUCUUGUUCUUCAUCAGGAGGGCUGUUCUGGAGUUCGUUCGGGGCUCCGGAGAGGGGGA